AGGAUGGUGUAGACAUCGCAAAGACUCACAUGGACUAUUUUUGUCACAGUUGGUUUUUUUGUCACAUUUGCUUUGUUGUGAUGCGGACCACGCUAAAGAAUAAAAAAAGUGGAGACGUGGAGAUGUGAUUAGAACAGGUUGGAGAUUGUGAAAGAGACACAUCCCACGUUCUCCUCGCGACCCAGAAGUUCCUCUUGUCUUCCUUCCUUGAAAAUUGUACUUUUUAAUGUUUUAGGCUGCUUAAACCUGACAUUAAAUUGCUCCUUCGAGCCGGAUCCAAAGAUGCCUGAGGAUUCCAGUGGGUGUGUUGAAUACCAGAAAGACCGUGGCCAGGGCAGACUCCUUCUGAGUCUAAAGACCCUUUCCGGAACUGGCGUGCAGCCCGCCGGCUGGUAUCCGACGGUUGACGGGAUCCAAAGAUGGACGGAAGACAACAUGACCACGCUAAGGAAUAAAAAAAAGUGGAGAUGUGGAGAUGUGAUAAGAACGGGUUGGAGAUUGUGAAACAGAGACAUCCCACGUCCUCCUCACGACCCAGAAGUUCCUCUUGUCUUCCUUCCUUGAAAAUUUUACUUUAAAUGUCCUAGGCUGCUUAAACCUGACAGUAUCACACAAAUAAAUCAUUAAAAACUCA